UACGGGAGGCAGCAGUGGGGAAUAUUGCACAAUGGGCGCAAGCCUGAUGCAGCCAUGCCGCGUGUAUGAAGAAGGCCUUCGGGUUGUAAAGUACUUUCAGUCGUGAGGAAGGUGUUAAGGUUAAUAACCUUAGCAAUUGACGUUAGCGACAGAAGAAGCACCGGCUAACUCCGUGCCAGCAGCCGCGGUAAUACGGAGGGUGCGAGCGUUAAUCGGAAUUACUGGGCGUAAAGGGCACGCAGGCGGUUAAUUAAGUUGGAUGUGAAAUCCCCGGGCUUAACCUGGGAAUGGCAUUCAAGACUGGUUAGCUAGAGUCUUGUAGAGGGGGUAGAAUUCCAUGUGUAGCGGUGAAAUGCGUAGAGAUGUGGAGGAAUACCGGUGGCGAAGGAGGCCCCUGGACAAAGACUGACGCUCAUGUGCGAAAGCGUGGGGAGCAAACAGGAUUAGAUACC
rnacentral:rRNA from 1 species